GAUCCUGGCUUAGGAUGAACGCUAGCUACAGGCUUAACACAUGCAAGUCGAGGGGCAGCGAGAAGAAAGCUUGCUUCUUGUCGGCGACCGGCGCACGGGUGAGUAACGCGUAUCCAACCUUCCCCUUAGUAGGGCAUAGCCCGUAGAAAUGCGGAUUAAUACCCUAUGUUGUUCGAUGCGGACAUCUAAGUUGAACCAAAGGUUUACCGCUAAGGGAUGGGGAUGCGUCUGAUUAGGCAGCAGGCGGGGUAACGGCCCACCUGGCCGACGAUCAGUAGGGGUUCUGAGAGGAAGGUCCCCCACAUUGGAACUGAGACACGGUCCAAACUCCUACGGGAGGCAGCAGUGAGGAAUAUUGGUCAAUGGGCGCGAGCCUGAACCAGCCAAGUAGCGUGCAGGAAUGACGGCUCUAUGGGUUGUAAACUGCUUUUAUGCGGGGAUAAAGUGCGGCACGUGUGCCGUUUUGUAGGUACCGCAUGAAUAAGGACCGGCUAAUUCCGUGCCAGCCGCAGC
rnacentral:rRNA from 1 species